rnacentral:rRNA from 1 species
UAAAUCUUAUUUAUUAAUAAAGUUUGCAAAUUAGUUAUUAAUAUUAAAAAUAAUUAUAAAUUAGUUUAAGUUUAAGUAUUUUAUAAAGAAAAAAUAAUUUUAGUAAUAGUUAAUUAGUAUUGUAAAAUAAAAUUGAAAUAAUUUGAAAAAUUAAUAAUUUAAAAGAAAAUUUAAUUUAUUGUACCUUGUGUAUCAGGGUUUAUUAAUUAAAAAAUAAUUAAUUUAUUUUUCUCGAUUUUAAAAGAGUUAAUAAAUUAUAUUAGUUUAUGUGGAAAAAUAAUUAAUAAUAAUUUAUUAGAAAUGAAAAGUUAAUCGUUUUUAAUGGUAUCUAGUUUUUUAAGAAAUGAAUUUAAUUCAGUUAUUUUAAAUAUAUUAUUUUUAAUUAAAUAAAUUUAAUAUUUUAAAAUAAUAAUAUUUUAUGGGAUAAGCUUUAAAAUAAAGUAAUUAAAAAUUAAUUAAUAAUAAUUAAUAAAUAUAUGCUUAGAAUUAGUAAUUAUUUAUAAAUAUGUUAUAAUUUAUUUUAUAAAAUUAAUUAUUUAGUUUAAUUUUAAUUAUUUAUUAAAAUAUUUAUUUUAAUAAUAAAAAUAAAGUAAUAAUGAUAAAAUUAGUAUAUUUAUUUGUAAUUUAAUAUAUAAUAAUUUAUAAUUUUAUAUAAAGAACUCGGCAAAUAUAAUGUUCGCCUGUUUAUCAAAAACAUGUCCUUUUGUAUUUUAUUUAAGGUCUAAUCUGCCCACUGAUAAAUUGUUGAAGGGCCGCGGUAUUUUAACCGUGCAAAGGUAGCAUAAUCAUUAGUUUUUUAAUUGAAGGCUUGUAUGAAUGAUUGGACGAGAUAUUAUCUGUUUCAUAUAAAAUUAAAUAGAAUUUUAUUUUUUAGUUAAAAAGCUAAAAUAAUAAUAAAAGACGAGAAGACCCUAUAGAUCUUAAUAAUUUAUAUAUUUUAUUUACUUAGAAAAAUUAAAAUAUUAUAUUUAUAAUUAUUUUAUUGGGGUGAUAAUAAAAUUUAAUAAACUUUUAUAUAAAUUUUACAUUAGUUAAUGAAUAAUUGAUCCAUUAAUAGUGAUUAGUAAAUGAAGUUACCUUAGGGAUAACAGCGUAAUUUUUUUAGAGAGUUCUUAUCGAUAAAAAAGAUUGCGACCUCGAUGUUGGAUUAAGAGAUAAAAUUGGGUGUAGAAGUUCAAAUAUUUAGGUCUGUUCGACCUUUAAUUUCUUACAUGAUCUGAGUUCAAACCGGCGUGAGCCAGGUUGGUUUCUAUCUUUAUUUAAAUAUAAUAUUUUAGUACGAAAGGACCAAAUAUUAGAAAUAUAAAUUUUUAAAAUGAGAUUAUUAAUAAUAUUUU